GAUGAACGCUGGCGGCGUGCCUAAUACAUGCAAGUCGAGCGAACAGACGAGGAGCUUGCUCCUCUGACGUUAGCGGCGGACGGGUGAGUAACACGUGGAUAACCUACCUAUAAGACUGGGAUAACUUCGGGAAACCGGAGCUAAUACCGGAUAAUAUAUUGAACCGCAUGGUUCAAUAGUGAAAGACGGUUUUGCUGUCACUUAUAGAUGGAUCCGCGCCGCAUUAGCUAGUUGGUAAGGUAACGGCCUACCAAGGCAACGAUGCGUAGCCGACCUGAGAGGGUGAUCGGCCACACGGGAACUGAGACACGGGCCAGACUCCUACGGGAGGCAGCAGUAGGGAAUCUUCCGCAAUGGGCGAAAGCCUGACGGAGCAACGCCGCGUGAGUGAUGAAGGUCUUCGGAUCGUAAAACUCUGUUAUUAGGGAAGAACAAAUGUGUAAGUAACUAUGCACGUCUUGACGGUACCUAAUCAGAAAGCCACGGCUAACUACGUG
rnacentral:rRNA from 1 species